rnacentral:rRNA from 1 species
AUUGAACGCUGGCGGCAUGCCUUACACAUGCAAGUCGAACGGCAGCACGGGUGCUUGCACCUGGUGGCGAGUGGCGAACGGGUGAGUAAUACAUCGGAACAUGUCCUGUAGUGGGGGAUAGCCCGGCGAAAGCCGGAUUAAUACCGCAUACGAUCUACGGAUGAAAGCGGGGGACCUUCGGGCCUCGCGCUAUAGGGUUGGCCGAUGGCUGAUUAGCUAGUUGGUGGGGUAAAGGCCUACCAAGGCGACGAUCAGUAGCUGGUCUGAGAGGACGACCAGCCACACUGGGACUGAGACACGGCCCAGACUCCUACGGGAGGCAGCAGUGGGGAAUUUUGGACAAUGAGCGAAAGCCUGAUCCAGCAAUGCCGCGUGUGUGAAGAAGGCCUUCGGGUUGUAAAGCACUUUUGUCCGGAAAGAAAUCCUUGGCCCUAAUACGGUCGGGGGAUGACGGUACCGGAAGGAUAAGCACCGGCUAACUACGUG